rnacentral:lncRNA from 1 species
ACAAAAACUAGCCCUAUCUCGAUUAUGUUUCAAAUUUUCCCAUCAACAAACACGAGUAUCCUCCUAUCUAUCACAAUCCUAUCCAUUAUAGUGGGCGGUUGAGGAGGACUUAACCAAAUACAACUGCAUAAAAUCCUAGCCUACUCCUCAGUCACUCACACAGGUUGAACAAUAGCAGUACUAAUCUAUAACCCAAACAUUACCAUUCUAAACCUGACUAUUUACUUUAUCUUAACAACAACCGCAUUUCUAGCAUUCAACCUGACUAUAAGCACCACAACGCUGUUGCUGUCUCACACCUGAAACAAAUUAGCAUGGUUGACACCUAUAAUUCCACGAAUUCUACUAUCCCUAGAAGGUUUACCUCCAUUAACAGGGUUCCUGCCUAAAUGAAUCAUCAUCCAAGAAUUUACAAAAAUCAAUAGCCUUUUUACCCCGACCAUUAUAGCUCUCAUAACCCUACUCAACCUGUACUUUUACAUACACCUAAUUUACUCCAUCCCAGGGACAAUAUUCCCCACAUCUAAUAAUAUGAAAAUAAAAUGAAAAUUCAAAAACACUAAACCCAGAUUAGUCUUCCCCCCACUUAUCAUCUCUUCUACACUCCUCUUACCCAUCUCUCCAUUAAUACUAACUAUAA